GUGACCUCAUUUUCGAAGCACAUAUACUGCAAUAUGAAUGAUACAAGAGAGAUUAGCAUGACUCCAGUGCAAGAAUAACACACCAGUACCUGAAGUAUUGAAUGUUUGU